rnacentral:rRNA from 1 species
UAGAUUAAGUUAUUAAGGGCGCACGGUGGAUGCCUUGGCACUAGAAGCCGAUGAAGGACGUUACUAACGACGAUAUGCUUUGGGUAGCUGUAAGUAAGCGUUGAUCCAGAGAUUUCCGAAUGGGGAAACCCAGCACAAGUUAUGUUGUGUUAUCGACAAGUGAAUUCAUAGCUUGUCAGAAGGCAGACCCGGAGAACUGAAACAUCUUAGUACCCGGAGGAAGAGAAAGAAAAUUCGAUUCCCUGAGUAGCGGCGAGCGAAACGGGAAGAGCCCAAACCAAUAAGCUUGCUUAUUGGGGUUGUAGGACACUCUAUACGGAGUUACAAAGGAAUAUAUUAAACGAAUCAUCUGGAAAGUUGAAUCAAAGAAGGUAAUAAUCCUGUAGUUGAAAAUAUAUUCUCUCUUGAGUGGAUCCUGAGUACGACGGAGCACGUGAAAUUCCGUCGGAAUCUGGGAGGACCAUCUCCUAAGGCUAAAUACUCUCUAGUGACCGAUAGUGAACCAGUACCGUGAGGGAAAGGUGAAAAGUACCCCGGAAGGGGAGUGAAAGAGAACUUGAAACCGUGUGCUUACAAGUAGUCAGAGCCCGUUAAUGGGUGAUGGCGUGCCUUUUGUAGAAUGAACCGGCGAGUUACGAUCUGAUGCAAGGUUAAGCAGAAAAUGUGGAGCCGUAGCGAAAGCGAGUCUGAAUAGGGCGUGUAGUAUUUGGUCGUAGACCCGAAACCAGGUGAUCUACCCAUGGUCAGGUUGAAGUUCAGGUAACACUGAAUGGAGGACCGAACCGACUUACGUUGAAAAGUGAGCGGAUGAACUGUGGGUAGCGGAGAAAUUCCAAUCGAACUUGGAGAUAGCUGGUUCUCUCCGAAAUAGCUUUAGGGCUAGCCUCAAGUGAUGAUUAUUGGAGGUAGAGCACUGUUUGGACGAGGGGCCCCUCUCGGGUUACCGAAUUCAGACAAACUCCGAAUGCCAAUUAAUUUAACUUGGGAGUCAGAACAUGGGUGAUAAGGUCCGUGUUCGAAAGGGAAACAGCCCAGACCACCAGCUAAGGUCCCAAAAUAUAUGUUAAGUGGAAAAGGAUGUGGCGUUGCCCAGACAACUAGGAUGUUGGCUUAGAAGCAGCCAUCAUUUAAAGAGUGCGUAAUAGCUCACUAGUCGAGUGACACUGCGCCGAAAAUGUACCGGGGCUAAACAUAUUACCGAAGCUGUGGAUUGUCCUUUGGACAAUGGUAGGAGAGCGUUCUAAGGGCGUUGAAGCAUGAUCGCAAGGACAUGUGGAGCGCUUAGAAGUGAGAAUGCCGGUGUGAGUAGCGAAAGACGGGUGAGAAUCCCGUCCACCGAUUGACUAAGGUUUCCAGAGGAAGGCUCGUCCGCUCUGGGUUAGUCGGGUCCUAAGCUGAGGCCGACAGGCGUAGGCGAUGGAUAACAGGUUGAUAUUCCUGUACCACCUAUAAUCGUUUUAAUCGAUGGGGGGACGCAGUAGGAUAGGCGAAGCGUACGAUUGGAUUGUACGUCUAAGCAGUGAGAUUGAGUGUUAGGCAAAUCCGGCACUCUUAAGAUUGAGCUGUGAUGGGGAGAGGAAAUUGUUUCCUCGAGUCGUUGAUUUCACACUGCCGAGAAAAGCCUCUAGAUAGAGAUUAGGUGCCCGUACCGCAAACCGACACAGGUAGUCAAGAUGAGAAUUCUAAGGUGAGCGAGCGAACUCUCGUUAAGGAACUCGGCAAAAUGACCCCGUAACUUCGGGAGAAGGGGUGCUCUUUAGGGUGCAAGCCCAGAAGAGCCGCAGUGAAUAGGCCCAAGCGACUGUUUAUCAAAAACACAGGUCUCUGCUAAACCGUAAGGUGAUGUAUAGGGGCUGACGCCUGCCCGGUGCUGGAAGGUUAAGAGGAGUGGUUAGCUUCUGCGAAGCUACGAAUCGAAGCCCCAGUAAACGGCGGCCGUAACUAUAACGGUCCUAAGGUAGCGAAAUUCCUUGUCGGGUAAGUUCCGACCCGCACGAAAGGCGUAACGAUUUGGGCACUGUCUCAACGAGAGACUCGGUGAAAUCAUAGUACCUGUGAAGAUGCAGGUUACCCGCGACAGGACGGAAAGACCCCGUGGAGCUUUACUGUAGCCUGAUAUUGAAAUUCGGCACAGCUUGUACAGGAUAGGUAGGAGCCUUUGAAACGUGAGCGCUAGCUUACGUGGAGGCGUUGGUGGGAUACUACCCUAGCUGUGUUGGCUUUCUAACCCGCACCACUUAUCGUGGUGGGAGACAGUGUCAGGCGGGCAGUUUGACUGGGGCGGUCGCCUCCUAAAAGGUAACGGAGGCGCUCAAAGGUUCCCUCAGAAUGGUUGGAAAUCAUUCAUAGAGUGUAAAGGCAUAAGGGAGCUUGACUGCGAGACCUACAAGUCGAGCAGGGUCGAAAGACGGACUUAGUGAUCCGGUGGUUCCGCAUGGAAGGGCCAUCGCUCAACGGAUAAAAGCUACCCCGGGGAUAACAGGCUUAUCUCCCCCAAGAGUUCACAUCGACGGGGAGGUUUGGCACCUCGAUGUCGGCUCAUCGCAUCCUGGGGCUGUAGUCGGUCCCAAGGGUUGGGCUGUUCGCCCAUUAAAGCGGUACGCGAGCUGGGUUCAGAACGUCGUGAGACAGUUCGGUCCCUAUCCGUCGUGGGCGUAGGAAAUUUGAGAGGAGCUGUCCUUAGUACGAGAGGACCGGGAUGGACAUACCUCUGGUGUACCAGUUGUCGUGCCAACGGCAUAGCUGGGUAGCUAUGUAUGGACGGGAUAAGUGCUGAAAGCAUCUAAGCAUGAAGCCCCCCUCAAGAUGAGAUUUCCCAACUUCGGUUAUAAGAUCCCUCAGAGAUGAUGAGGUUAAUAGGUUCGAGGUGGAAGCGUGGUGACACGUGGAGCUGACGAAUACUAAUCGAUCGAAGACUUAAUCAAUUUUUUCAAGUUUUGCGACGCAAAUCUUUACUUACUAUCUAGUUUUGAAUGUAUAAUCAUUCACUUGUCUGGUGACAAUGGCAAGGAGGUCACACCUGUU